CACCCCCUCGCCCAGGGGUGUUCGGACUCUCCCGGGGAAUGGUCCCUCACCAGUGCAGUGGCCAGGGCAGAAUUAAUUCUCUUUACUAAAAAUUCCUGUCGUGGUCCGCACUCCCCACCACGAGCACAGAGGGUUUUAGGAGACAUCAGCGCUCCCUAGGUUAGAGACCUGGUCCUGACCCUCCCGCCGUGCCCGCUAAUCGCCCUGAGCUCAUCCCAAAAUCCUGCAGGAGCCGGUGAUGAACCGCCAGCUUUCCAGCAAAUCCCAAAGGAUGCUUAGAGAAUUCCCUGGAAGCCCCCCAGCUGCAGAGGGAAUCUCCAGGGUGACACCCAGGGCUCAGCUCCGGCUGCCCAGCACCUGCCCUGGGACAGCUCGGGCAGCCCGAGCCCAGCUGCCUACACACUUCUCCUCUUAAAUGCCCGGUUAUUUAUCAAAGUGGCUCGGUUUGUGCCAAAUUGCCACUUGUUUUGUCUACAUUUUUGUCUGGAAAAUUAGAGCACAGAGGGUUAUUGUUUCUCAAAUGACUUAGGCGCCUGCCCAUGCACAGAACCAUUCUUAAAGAUAGCAGGGAUCUGAUGUGCAAAUGAAUGGCAGGAUACAGCCCCCUGGGAAUAUUUGUUCCCACUAAGCCCUGCAAAUUUUUUGAAAGCAUGUAAGCAUUUAAAAGGAAAUAUUUACCAGUUCAACAAUAAUGGUUCCAAGAGAGCAACUGAGAUCACUGGCCCAUCCCCUUCAUUUCCUCAGGGAUACACUGCUGAUGGAACUGGAGCUGCCUCGGGCAGUGCUGCACCCUCUGGGGAAUCUGAUGGCUGCUUGGGGCUCUCAGUGUGAAAGGAGCUUUGGUGGGAUCCUCCCUGAGAGGGGAACAGAAGGGAAUCCUCUCUGGAAGUGCUGGUGGAGAUGGAGAUCCCUCCCAGCAGCAGGGAAAGGUUUGCUGGCGCUGGUGGAAGUGCAGCUCCGUGUUGUACAGCAUCUCACACAGGAAACCUUUGCAUGAACCCCUGGAAUUCCAAUUUGAUGGUGAGGAAGAGGAUGGACUCAUCCUUCAGCUCCUCACAGGACACCACCAUGCAGCACAGGACCCAGCACGCUCCUACCAGGGACUCCACUGGAGCCUUCUCAACCAUAGGCAGUGACUCCCUAAGUGCACCGAGCAUUUUAAAAUUCUGCCAGUAUUUUAAUUGCAGAAAGUUUCCUUUCCAGUCCCAUUUAUUGGGUCAAAUCUUUGCUCCAUCAAGUGCCCGUGUCAGCUGCUAAAGAACUGCAUACAGCCCAUUAAAAGAGCAUUUAAUCCUCUGCUCCCAGGGAGGGUUCUGUGUCUUCUGUGCUAAUAUUCAUUAUGCUGGGAGGGAAAUCCCCCAGGACAAGGCCUGGCAAAGUUCCCUUGGAAGCAGAGGAGUUAUGCCAGCUCAGAGUAGGGGAAGAUCAGAUCUCUUGGCACUGUUGAUGUCAGUGUGAUGAGCUCCUGACAAAGGCAGCAGGGGAUUUGGGCUCCUGCCUGCGUGGCCGCCUGAAUUCAAAGUCCUCCCUUGCCCGAUGUUUUACAUUUUUCCCCCACAGCUUUCUCCCUUGCACACCAGCAGUGUACUCCCACGACAUCGAAUAUUAAUGCUUGUCUCCAGGCCAGGAAAGAAAUGUUUCUGCCCAACCUCCCUCUUAGAUUCAACAAUGUCAAAACCUCCUUGUCUCCCACUGGUUUUACCACCAGCGUGAGCUGGGAGGGGCAGCGAGUGCUGGCCCCCAGCAGAUCUCAGGCUGAGCACCAGGUGAGAUUUUCACCCACCUCCCAAUUUCCCAGAGCCUGCCAAGCCCACUGCAGCUGCCUGGGCAUCCAACAUCCCCCUGAGUGAUGGGGGCUGGAAGCACUUCCCUGUUUGGUACGAGAGCUUGGAGGGUGGGAGGCAUGAAAAAGGGAAGAUUAACAGUGGAGAAUUAAUAGAUCAGCAUUAAAAUCCCACAUCAGGAACCUGCUCUUUAGAGAGGAGCACUUCCAGCCCCUGACAGAAAAGGGGACGUGCCCAGGCACACAAGCUCUCCCCAGACUGGAGUGACAGAUGGAUGGGGACACGGGCAGGACAGUGACACACAUACAGAUGCAAAACUCUCCAGCCCCCACAAGCCGUGGCUGACCCCAUACCUGCGGCACACAAUGGGCUCUCACUGGUCUCCACGGGGGUCUGGCACAGAACUGGAAGCACUUGCUAAAGCAAAAGGGAAAUUUUGGUGCUUCUCAACAAAAAGCAAAAAAAAAAAAAAAGGAGGAAUGGCUUUUGCUGUUCCAGGACAAAUUCUUCUGCUCGGGCUGUUCAUGAGGCUGUUUGUAAACUUUACAUUUCAGUUUUAGCUCAGGAGCAGCCCCUGUUCUGCAAAGCUCUGUGAGGAAAAUGACCUCCCACCAUUCUGUUCUGGCCCAUAUUGUUCUCAGCUGCGUCAGCUGCACACCAGCUAUCACAGUGGAAAUCUAGAGGGUUCCACUGAUGGCAGUGGGAUAAAAGCAGGUCAGACCAAGAAAAGGACUUGACCCAUAGCUCUCGCUCUGCUGUCACCAGUGGCUCAGGGAUCUGCAUAUUAAUACCACGACCUGAGCCCCACAAAGUGAUUUUUUUACCUUUUUUUUUGCCUGAGUAAGGACUUCACAAGAAUUAAUUGUCUCAGGACCAGCGUGUUAUAACUUAAGGUGCCCAUGGGGACAACCAGCAGCUGAGCUGGAGCUGUGCAGAAACAAAUGCAGGAACAGGGCAUCAUCCCAUAGCCAAUUUUUAUUUACAUUUAGAGGAGGCAGCAAUAGCUGAAGCGUAAAAACUGGGAAAUGAUUCAUCCCACCCAAGAAUAAACGGAAUUUUGUGGCUUUCUGUAAAAUUUCC
ensembl:lncRNA